rnacentral:rRNA from 1 species
GCAGGGUACUCUGUGGGGACCAGCCGAUGUUAAAUCGGAGGAAGGUGCGGGCCACGGUAGGUCAGUAUGCCCCGAAUCUCCCGGGCUACACGCGGGCUACAAUGGAUGGGACAAUGGGUCCCUCCCCUGAAAAGGGCUGGUAAUCUCACAAACCCAUUCGUAGUUCGGAUCGAGGGCUGUAACUCGCCCUCGUGAAGCUGGAAUCCGUAGUAAUCGCGUUUCAAUAUAGCGCGGUGAAUACGUCCCUGCUCCUUGCACACACCGCCCGUCAAACCACCCGAGUGAGGUAUGGGUGAGGGCACGGACUUCGUGCCGUGUUCGAACCUGUGCUUUGCAAGGGGGGUUAAGUCGUACCAGGG